rnacentral:rRNA from 1 species
UUCCCUAGUAACUGCGAGUGAAGCGGGAAAAGCUCAAAUUUAAAAUCUGGCGGUCUUUGGCUGUCCCGAGUUGUAAUCUAGAGAAGUGUUAUCCGCGCUGGACCGUGUACAAGUCUCCUGGAAUGGAGCGUCACAGAGGGUGAGAAUCCCGUCUUUGACACGGACUGCCAGGGCUUUGUGAUGCGCUCUCAAAGAGUCGAGUUGUUUGGGAAUGCAGCUCAAAAUGGGUGGUAAAUUCCAUCUAAAGCUAAAUAUUGGCGAGAGACCGAUAGCGAACAAGUACCGUGAGGGAAAGAUGAAAAGAACUUUGGAAAGAGAGUUAAACAGUACGUGAAAUUGCUGAAAGGGAAACGCUUGAAGUCAGUCGCGUUGUCCGGGGAUCAACCUUGCUUUUGCUGGGUGUACUUUCCGGUUGACGGGUCAGCAUCAAUUUUGACCGCUGGAUAAAGGUUUUGGGAAAGUGGCUUCCUCGGAAGUGUUAUAGCCCAGGGUCGCAUACAACGGUUGGGAUUGAGGAACUCAGCACGCCGAAAGGCCGGGUACUUGUACCACGUUCGUGCUUAGGAUGCUGGCAUAAUGGCUUUAAUCGACCCGUCUUGAAACACGGACCAAGGAGUCUAACAUGCCUGCGAGUGUUUGGGUGGAAAACCCGAGCGCGUAAUGAAAGUGAAAGUUGAGAUCCCUGUCGCGGGGAGCAUCGACGCCCGGACCAGACCUUUUUGUGACGGAUCCGCGGUAGAGCAUGUAUGUUGGGACCCGAAAGAUGGUUGAACUAUGCCUGAAUAGGGUGAAGCCAGAGGAAACUCUGGUGGAGGCUCGUAGCGAUUCUGACGUGCAAAUCGAUCGUCAAAUUUGGGUAUAGGGGCGAAAGACUAAUUCGAACCAUCUAGUAGCUGGCUCCUGCCGAAGU